rnacentral:rRNA from 1 species
CGGCGACGGUGGAUGCCUUGGC